CCUACGGGAGGCAGCAGUGAGGAAUAUUGGUCAAUGGACGAGAGUCUGAACCAGCCAAGUAGCGUGAAGGAUGACUGCCCUAUGGGUUGUAAACUUCUUUUAUAAAGGAAUAAAACGAGGCACGUGUGCCUUUUUGCAUGUACUUUAUGAAUAAGGAUCGGCUAACUCCGUGCCAGCAGCCGCGGUAAUACGGAGGAUCCGAGCGUUAUCCGGAUUUAUUGGGUUUAAAGGGAGCGUAGAUGGGUUGUUAAGUCAGUUGUGAAAGUUUGCGGCUCAACCGUAAAAUUGCAAUUGAUACUGGCAGUCUUGAGUACAGUUGAGGUAGGCGGAAUUCGUGGUGUAGCGGUGAAAUGCUUAGAUAUCACGAAGAACCCCGAUUGCGAAGGCAGCUUACCAAACUGUGACUGACAUUGAUGCACGAAAGUGUGGGUAUCAAACAGGAUUAGAUACCCCAGUAGUC
rnacentral:rRNA from 1 species